CUUUUUUUUUUUUCCUUCUUAGUCGUGUGUACAUCAUUGGGAAUGGAGGGAAAUAAAUGACUGGAUGGUCGCUGCUUUUUAAGUUUCAAAUUGACAUUCCAGACAAGCGGUGCCUGAGCCCGUGCCUGUCUUCAGAUCUUCACAGCACAGUUCCUGGGAAGGUGGAGCCACCAGCCUCUCCCUGACAAGCAAAGUGGAUCAGCAAAGGCUGCAGUCACCAGCAUCUUUUCCAACCUUAAUGAACUGUAUCCUCAAAAGAACACUAUCAGACUGGCUCUGCCGACUUCCAGUUCUGGAACAAGAUGGUUAAACUCAUUUUUCCCUGCUCUGCUCCUCUAAAUACAACUAAGUACCUUGGAAACUAUUCAGCAGACAAUGAUAAAGGGCUCUGAAAGCUAGAAGAAAAGGUGUACUUGCAAGAAACCUCAGGACUUGAGUAACAGCAACAUGGCAGGCCAGAAAGCAGACCCAGGGAGGAUAGCACAUGUCUUCGGCUACACUGGUGAAGGCAUCGUGCCUGCUCCACAGCACAUUUUUAUUCAAGUCUUGGACGAGCCUGAGGAUGUCUACAAGUGGAAGAAAAGAAGCCACUGGAGCAGAAGGUGGGGAGGAUAAAAUUUGGAGCAAGAUUCUCAAGGAAGCAACAAGAUCCUAAGGAAAGGAGAAAGAGACUACCUACUGCAUUUCUGUCACUCGCUGAAAAGGACACUCUGUCAGAAAAUCUUCUAGCAAACUUCAAAGGGCAAAAUCACCCCUUGUUACUGAUAAAGCCCAGAGAGCUUCAGCAGCUAACAUUCCCUGGACAGGGCACAGCAAGGAUUUGAACCUAGGUCAGUCUGGCCAGAACACCCACAAGCUUUCCUUAACUCAGUGUGCUAUCUCCCCACGACUAGGUCACUACUGCUUUAUAAUCACCUUUGUAGCCACCAGUGGAUUUUGCUCAUCAGUAUUUUUCAGGCAAUUGAUACUUUAGAUAUUCAGCUGCAAGACGUAUGCAGUUUUCAUUGACAUCUUUUGGAGAAACUGACAAACCUGGACUUGACUUAAUGCCUUUGGAACCUUCCAAGAUGUUAUAUAACUCUAGAUAGAAGGCUGGGCCUCCAUGAUGUCAGGAAUGUUGCAUUCUUAUUUCCCCAUAGAUAAACCCAUUUGUCCACAAAGUCAAGGAGUCAGGCAGAGGCCCUUGCCAUGGGGCUUUUUAGGAUAAAGCAACAAGCCUGGACUUUGCUCUACAACAGGGUUUUGCAUAGGGAGUGGUAUGACCAGAUCCCUCAAGAAAGAAAGCUUAGAGACCAGGCCAGAGUCCACUGCAGUAGCCCAGUCAAGAGAGGAUGGUGACUUGGACUUGUAGUAGAGCCAGUUAGAAUGAAAGAAAUUGACACAUUCAGAAAUGGUUUUAGAGAUAGAGUCAAACUGGACCUGAUAAAGAACUAGAGAAGCGGAGUGAGGAUAAAGAGAAGAGCCAUGACUGACUCGGAAGAUUUUGUCUUGAAAAACUUGAGAACUCAAGACAGAGUGAAAUAAAAUCACAUGUGGGAAAAA
rnacentral:lncRNA from 1 species